GGCCGUGUGGUAUAAUGGCAGUACUCUGGACGUUAAACUCCAGCGAUCCCGGUUCGAACCCGGGCACGGUCA